GACGAACGCUGGCGGCGUGCUUAACACAUGCAAGUCGAACGGAAAGGCCCUGCUUGCAGGGUACUCGAGUGGCGAACGGGUGAGUAACACGUGGGUGAUCUGCCCUGCACUUCGGGAUAAGCCUGGGAAACUGGGUCUAAUACCGGAUAGGAGCCAUUUUUAGUGUGAUGGUUGGAAAGUUUUUUCGGUGUAGGAUGAGCUCGCGGCCUAUCAGCUUGUUGGUGGGGUAAUGGCCUACCAAGGCGGCGACGGGUAGCCGGCCUGAGAGGGUGGACGGCCACAUUGGGACUGAGAUACGGCCCAGACACCUACGGGAGGCAGCAGGGGGGAAGAUUGCACAAUGGGCGCAAGCCUGAUGCAGCGACGCCGCGUGGGGGAUGACGGCCUUCGGGUUGUAAACUCCUUUCGCUAGGGACGAAGCUUUUUGUGACGGUACCUAGAGAAGAAGCACCGGCUAACUACGUG
rnacentral:rRNA from 1 species